rnacentral:misc_RNA from 1 species
CCAAUAGCGUAUAUUAAAGUUGUUGCAGUUAAAAAGCUCGUAGUUGAAUUUCGGGAUCAAUAUAUCGGUCGUGCCUUGGUACGUACUGGUAUCAUUGGUUUCUCCUUUCUGACGAACCAUGAUGUCAUUAAUUUGGUGUUAUGGGAAGUUAGGACUGUUACUUUGAAAAAAUUAGAGUGUUUAAAGCAGGCUUUAGCUUGAAUACAUCAGCAUGGAAUAAUGAAAUAGGACGUUCGAACCUAUUUUGUUGGUUUCUAGGAUCAACGUAAUGAUUAAUAGGGAUAGUUGGGGGCAUUAGUAUUCAAUUGUCAGAGGUGAAAUUCUUGGAUUUAUUGAAGACUAACUACUGCGAAAGCAUUUGCCAAGGAUGUUUUCAUUAAUCAAGAACGAAAGUUAGGGGAUCGAAGACGAUCAGAUACCGUCGUAGUCUUAACCAUAAACUAUGCCGACUAGGGAUCGGAUGAUGUUAAUUUUUUAAUGACUCAUUCGGCGCCUUACG